rnacentral:rRNA from 1 species
UGCAAGUCGAGCGGCAGCACGGGUACUUGUACCUGGUGGCGAGCGGCGGACGGGUGAGUAAUGCCUAGGAAUCUGCCUGGUAGUGGGGGAUAACGCUCGGAAACGGACGCUAAUACCGCAUACGUCCUACGGGAGAAAGCAGGGGACCUUCGGGCCUUGCGCUAUCAGAUGAGCCUAGGUCGGAUUAGCUAGUUGGUGAGGUAAUGGCUCACCAAGGCGACGAUCCGUAACUGGUCUGAGAGGAUGAUCAGUCACACUGGAACUGAGACACGGUCCAGACUCCUACGGGAGGCAGCAGUGGGGAAUAUUGGACAAUGGGCGAAAGCCUGAUCCAGCCAUGCCGCGUGUGUGAAGAAGGUCUUCGGAUUGUAAAGCACUUUAAGUUGGGAGGAAGGGCAGUUACCUAAUACGUAUCUGUUUUGACGUUACCGACAGAAUAAGCACCGGCUAACUCUGUGCCAGCAGCCGCGGUAAUACAGAGGGUGCAAGCGUUAAUCGGAAUUACUGGGCGUAAAGCGCGCGUAGGUGGUUUGUU